GACGAACGCUGGCGGCGUGCUUCAUACAUGCAAGUCGAGCGGGGUCCAUCCAGUGGCAACACUGGUGAAGACCUAGCGGCGAACGGGUGAGUAACACGUGAGGAACCUGCCCCUGAGACCGGGAUAACCCUCCGAAAGGAGAGCUAAUACCGGAUGCCCCCACCGGAUCGCAUGGUCUGGUGAGGAAAUGGAUUCCGCUCUGGGAGGGCCUCGCGGCCUAUCAGCUUGUUGGUGAGGUAACGGCUCACCAAGGCGUCGACGGGUAGCUGGUCUGAGAGGACGGUCAGCCACACUGGGACUGAGACACGGCCCAGACUCCUACGGGAGGCAGCAGUAGGGAAUCUUGCGCAAUGGGCGAAAGCCUGACGCAGCAACGCCGCGUGGGGGAUGAAGGCUCUCGGGUUGUAAACCCCUUCCAGCAGGGACGACUAUGACGGUACCUGCAGAAGAAGGACCGGCCAACUACGUGCCAGCCGCCGCAGUAA
rnacentral:rRNA from 1 species